rnacentral:rRNA from 1 species
CAGACUAGAGUACUGUAGAGGGGGGUAGAAUUUCAGGUGUAGCGGUGAAAUGCGUAGAGAUCUGAAGGAAUACCGGUGGCGAAGGCGGCCCCCUGGACAGAUACUGACACUCAGAUGCGAAAGCGUGGGGAGCAAACAGGAUUAGAUACCCUGGUAGUCCACGCCGUAAACGAUGUCUACUUGGAGGUUGUGGCCUUGAGCCGUGGCUUUCGGAGCUAACGCGUUAAGUAGACCGCCUGGGGAGUACGGUCGCAAGAUUAAAACUCAAAUGAAUUGACGGGGGCCCGCACAAGCGGUGGAGCAUGUGGUUUAAUUCGAUGCAACGCGAAGAACCUUACCUACUCUUGACAUCCAUAGAACUUUCCAGAGAUGGAUUGGUGCCUUCGGGAACUAUGAGACAGGUGCUGCAUGGCUGUCGUCAGCUCGUGUUGUGAAAUGUUGGGUUAAGUCCCGCAACGAGCGCAACCCUUAUCCUUGUUUGCCAGCACUUCGGGUGGGAACUCCAGGGAGACUGCCGGUGAUAAACCGGAGGAAGGUGGGGACGACGUCAAGUCAUCAUGGCCCUUACGAGUAGGGCUACACACGUGCUACAAUGGCGCAUACAGAGGGCGGCCAACUUGCGAAAGUGAGCGAAUCCCAAAAAGUGCGUCGUAGUCCGGAUUGGAGUCUGCAACUCGACUCCAUGAAGUCGGAAUCGCUAGUAAUCGUGGAUCAGAAUGCCACGGUGAAUACGUUCCCGGGCCUUGUACACACCGCCCGUCACACCAUGGGAGUGGGCUGCAAAAGAAGUGGGUAGUUUAACCUUCGGGGGGACGCUCACCACUUUGUGGUUCAUGACUGGGGUGAAGUCGUAACAAGGU